rnacentral:rRNA from 1 species
AUUGAACGCUGGCGGCAUGCCUAACACAUGCAAGUCGAACGGCAGCACGGCAGUAGCAAUACUGUGGGUGGCGAGUGGCGGACGGGUGAGGAAUACGUCGGAAUCUGCCCAGUCGUGGGGGAUAACUAGCCGAAAGGUUAGCUAAUACCGCAUACGACCGAGAGGUGAAAGCGGGGGACCGCAAGGCCUCGCGCGAUUGGAUGAGCCGACGUCGGAUUAGCUAGUUGGUGGGGUAAAGGCCCACCAAGGCGACGAUCCGUAGCUGGUCCGAGAGAAUGAUCAGCCACACUGGAACUGAGACACGGUCCAGACUCCUACGGGAGGCAGCAGUGGGGAAUAUUGGACAAUGGGCGCAAGCCUGAUCCAGCAAUGCCGCGUGUGUGAAGAAGGCCUUCGGGUUGUAAAGCACUUUUAUCAGGAACGAAAAGCGUUGGAUUAAUACUCUGACGUGCUGACGGUACCUGAGGAAUAAGCACCGGCUAACUUCGUG